rnacentral:snoRNA from 1 species
GUGGCCCCACAAUAUCAUGCUCAUGCAUAACUGGGGCCACUUGGCCGGCUGUGGGCGGCCCCUUUAACCGCAAGCCACAUCA